rnacentral:rRNA from 1 species
GAGUUUGAUCUUGGCUCAGGAUGAACGCUGGCGGCGUGCCUAAUACAUGCAAGUCGAGCGAACGGACGAGAAGCUUGCUUCUCUGAUGUUAGCGGCGGACGGGUGAGUAACACGUGGAUAACCUACCUAUAAGACUGGGAUAACUUCGGGAAACCGGAGCUAAUACCGGAUAAUAUUUUGAACCGCAUGGUUCAAAAGUAAAAGACGGUCUUGCUGUCACUUAUAGAUGGAUCCGCGCUGCAUUAGCUAGUUGGUAAGGUAACGGCUUACCAAGGCAACGAUGCAUAGCCGACCUGAGAGGGUGAUCGGCCACACUGGAACUGAGACACGGUCCAGACUCCUACGGGAGGCAGCAGUAGGGAAUCUUCCGCAAUGGGCGAAAGCCUGACGGAGCAACGCCGCGUGAGUGAUGAAGGUCUUCGGAUCGUAAAACUCUGUUAUUAGGGAAGAACAUAUGUGUAAGUAACUGUGCACAUCUUGACGGUACCUAAUCAGAAAGCCACGGCUAACUACGUGCCG